rnacentral:lncRNA from 1 species
CUGGUGUAGUGAAUCUAAGUGCUGAUGAUUUUCCCUUUCUGCUGAAGCUGCCCUCAGCCGGGUUCAAAGGGAUCCUGUGUGCUGUGUGACCUGCCUUCUUAGGCUUGGGUCUCAGGAUGUAUUUUCAUCCUAUUCGUUUCAGUAAUAGUUCUGCCAGGUUUAAGGGUCAAGCCUUUCCCUUCAACACUCUGAGGCCAUUUUCUCCCGUGUUCUGAUGUCAAGCGGCUCUUGUCCUCUUGUAGAAAAGGGUUUAAAGACUUUCCCCACCAUCUCUAUGUUUUUGCAUCAGUGAAUCUAAAGGCGUGUUUUAAAAUCUGGUCCCAUUUGGCCCUUUGAACCCUUCAGUCUGGGAUUUUAAGUCUUUUUCUAAUUCUCAAAUCGCCUGUCUGUGGUCAGGCUGUAAUUACCAAGCCUGCCUCACUGACUUUAUUUCUCCUUUUAUGUUUCCAUGCUGUAUUUCCUCAAGCCUGUUAAUUUUGGCUCUGUGUUAUUACUACCCAUCCUUCCAACUCUUUGAAGAUACUGUGAUUUUAAAUUAAAGGACUAAACGGGGACUCAUAUUCCCCUUCUCCCG